AUUCCGUAAAGUUGCAAUAUACAAAGUCAACAUGCAAAAAUCAGUAGCAUUUCUAUAUGCCAACAAUGAAUAAUCUGAAAAAGAAAUCAAGAAAGUAAUCCCAUUUACAAUAGCUAAAAAUAAAAUUAAAUCACUAGGAAUUAACGAAAGAAGGGAAAGACCUCCGCAAUGAAACCUAUAAAACACUGAUGAAAGAAAUUGAAGAGGCUUUCUCUCUUGAUGGGAGAGUGUCUGGCUUCACAUCCCUGAUGUGGCUGUGUGGUCAGAGGCCUCCUUGUGGAGCAGAGCAAGGCCAGGCAGCCCCUGCUCCAGUCACACAUUGCCAUGGCUGUGGUUCCCAAGCCAGUGCAGCAGCAGGAGGAGGACUGCAGCAAGCUGAGAUCUGUACCUCUGCACCUGAAUGUUGAUCCCUUACUUCAGAUUAACAUACCUAAUGUUCUCAGUGAGAGAGAUAAGGUCAAAUUUACAGUGCACACAAAGACCACACUACCCACAUUUCAGAGUCCAGAGUUUUCUGUUAGAAGGCAACAUGAAGACUUUGUGUGGCUACAUGACACUCUUAUUGAACAGACUAUGCUAGACUUAUUGUGAAUUCCACCUGGGCCUAUGAAGCCCAACUUCCAUGGUCCUCGAAAGAAGAUGCAGAAACAGGGAGAAGGUGGAGGUUCUAUGACCAAAGAAGAAUUUGCCAAGAUGAAACAAGAACUGGAAGCUGAGUAUCUCCCUGUUUUUCCAAAGACUGUGUCCUCCCAUGAAGUCUUUUCUCUGCAGCUUUCUUCUCACCCUGUUCUCAGUAAAGGUCGCAGCUUUCGUGUUUUCCUGGAAUAUGAUCAGAAUCUAAGUGUUAGGAGGAAAAAUGCUAAAGAGAUAUUUGGUGGCUUAUUCAAAAGUGUGGUGAAAAGUGCUGAUGAAGUCCUUUUUGCUGGAGUUAAGGAAUUAGAUGACUUCUGUGAGCAAGAGAACAACUUCCUUAUUAACUAUCAUAAUAGGAUCAAAGAUUCUUGUGUGGAAGCUGACAAAAUGACCAGAUCUCAUAAAAAUGUUGCUGAUGACCAUAUCCACACUGCAGCCUGCUUACAUAACCUGGCUUUAAGAAAGCCCGCAGUCAUCAAAAACUACCUAUCGAAGGUUGCUGAGCUAUUUGAAAAACUUAGGAAAGUAGAGGGUCAAGUCUCAUCAGAUGAAGAUUUAAUGCUAACAGAGCUCCUCUGAUACUACAUGCUCAACCUUGAAGCUGCCAACGCUCUCUUAUACAGAUGCACCAAAGCCCUCAUUGACUGUGAGAACUCAAACAAAGCUCUGGGUAAGACCUGGUUAAAGAGCAAAGAUGUCAAGUUGGCUGCUGCCAGAAAUUUGAACAGCUUUCUGAAUCUGCAAAAGAAGGACUGAUAAAUUCAAAUGGAAGAGAGUGGCAGCAUUUAGAAAGAAUUUAAUUGAAAUGUCUGAACUGGAAAUAAAACAUGCCAGGAACAGUGUCUCCCUUUUGCAGAGCUGUAUUGACUUGUUCAAGCAUAACUGAUAUGCCUUCACUCUGAAGAGAAGAAAUGAAUAUGAAAGGAGGCCAAACAUCACUUGCAGUUAAAUCACUACCAUGGAAGAUUUAUUAGCUUCAACUUUAGUUUAAAAUUAUGUGAAUAAAUAUUUUGAUUUCUACAAAUGUUAUCAUUUAACAAUGGUUUAAAAAUAUUAUUGCUUGCUACUUGGACAUAACUAGUUUUUCCUUGUGCAUGUAAUACCUCUGGGCAGGAUCUAAACACUGAGUUCUCCUGUAGUUUGUCUUUAGUUACUAAGAAAGGGUGUAGGAGACAUGUGCCCUCUGGAAGCAAGUAGAAGCAAUCACCGGGCACACGUCCCUACAAACCCAUGAAUGUCAGGGAGGUGCCAGUUACAGCAGGUGAUUCAGCUACUUGAGGCAGGUAACAGACCUUCCAUUCUUCACUGAAGGUGGGGUUUGUAUUUUUGUUUUGCCCCCUGUUACUCCCCUGGUAGUUAUAUGGUGUUUGUACUAUAACAACAGCAAGAAAAUCUCAUUUACCUUUAUAUACUCUUUGGACCUCCUUUUAUUAGUUGAGAUAGAAAUAUUUGAGGGAGAGAAGUGUCUAUGGGUAUAUAUGGAAACAAAUAAUGUGGUCUACUUUAUAAGAUGGCCAGAUCUACAUUAGGAAAGAUAUGAGCUCCCUCCCUAGUGGCUGUGGGGUUGGAGGGACAAUGUAUGUCUUUGGGCAUUUGUUUUUAUAAAGUAUAUAAUAAAAUAAUCGUACUGCUAAAAAAAAAAAA